rnacentral:sRNA from 1 species
CUAGUUUCUAAGGAUCAUGUCUGCGAGCCAGGAUUCCCGAUCCAGAGACAAUGGCCCCGAUGGGAUGGAGCCCGAAGGCGUCAUCGAGAGUAACUGGAAUGAGAUUGUUGACAGCUUUGAUGACAUGAACCUCUCGGAGUCCCUUCUCCGUGGUAUCUACGCCUAUGGUUUUGAGAAGCCCUCUGCCAUCCAGCAGCGAGCCAUUCUACCUUGUAUCAAGGGUUAUGAUGUGAUUGCUCAAGCCCAAUCUGGGACUGGGAAAACGGCCACAUUUGCCAUAUCGAUUCUGCAGCAGAUUGAAUUAGAUCUAAAAGCCACCCAGGCCUUGGUCCUAGCACCCACUCGAGAAUUGGCUCAGCAGGUAAGAGUGGCUUCUAUUCCCUCCUUCAGGGCUGAUUUAGGGAUGAUGAGUAUAAUCCAAGGACCAGAGAAGUCUUCUCUGAUCACCACCUUGGGAGGAAGACAUGGGUGCCCUAACACUCUCGAGACCUGCUGGGUUAAUUAAAAGCUAUUUCUUACCCAAACGUAACCAUUGCUUCCUCCACCCAUUUCCUGAGUCAAAUGGGAAGGCUGUUGGGUGAAGCCUGGCUGGCUGGGCAAGUUUGACUGUGUUCUGAAUAAGCACCUUCACUAUGGGCUAAGAGAUACCUUGGUGGUGGGGGUGAUCUUACAGUAGUCAGAGCAGAUGGACAGUCCUUUUCACCCUUGCUAAUGGCCAGAGCUGUUUCAUGCCUGGGGCACACACAAUUCUAAUGCUGGACUUUUUCCUGGGUCAUGCUGCA